rnacentral:lncRNA from 1 species
UGAGGGAGAGGGGAUGGCGGCUCCAUGUGUGUGAGGGACUAGGAUGGCUGGGAAGACCCCGUGGACCGAUCAGAAAAGCCCCUCCCCCGGGAGGGCCCAGGAAUUAUGGCGAGGCUCCUGGGGUGUGCCGUGGCCGUGGCCCUCAUCCUCAGUGUGGCUUCCACUGUCUUUCUGUAUCACUGGCAGCAGAAGAACCGGCUGGAGAUGGAUGGGGGCGGGACUGCCCUGCCUCUCUCCCAGGAGCCAGAACCUUCUCCCAGCAGGCAGAGCCACCUUGCACUUAAGAACAUCCAGAUUCUUGGCCUAGAGCUGGAGAAGCAGCAGCUACAGCAGGAAGAGGAUGAACUGCAGAAGCUGCCCCCACAGCCCCCCUACUACGAUCUGGGGGCCUCCCCCUCCUACCACCCCUUGGCCUUUGUCUCCACAGCCUCACCACGCUCCCUCUCGGCUGGAAGGGCCAAAGAGAAUGCAUCUCAAGAUGCCAAACCUUGCCCCUGGGAGGCAGCGUUCCUAUCCCGGGUGCUCAGCCCAGAGGACCAACCCGGCCCCCACCUUCCAAUUCCAUGCAGGGGCCUUCCCUCCCCAGGCUCUGCUCAUGGUGGAUUGACAGAAGGCUCAAAUGAGUUGGAGGCUUCAGGACUCAAGACCACUUGGGAGGAAGAGCAGACAGGUGCCGGCAGUCUCGGAGGACUCCACUCAGCUGUGUCCCUCAGACCAGGGGUUCACUGUGGCGUCAGCAUGUCCAUCCCAGUCCCACACUGGGAAAUUCCAUGUCCCCCAGCAGUGAAUUUGCCCUGUUCUCUGGGGUCCUUGCCAGGCUGUUGAAUCCCACAUCCUGAGAAAGUGCCCCCAGGUCAGUGUGGUCUUGCUUAUUCCCCCAAAUCCCACCCACAAAUGCCCGCCCAGCUUCUGCUAGAAUUCCUAGAGAAUUCCUGCCACUCCUUGCUCCUUGGACGUACUCUCUCCUCCCUCAGCAGGUCCAGCUGGCCCCAGCUGGGUCAUGCUGGGCUUUAAACUUAGCUAUCAGCCUGGUAGCCAGGAAGGCGGGUGGGGGCAGCUCUCGAAGAGUGUGCCUCUCGCCUUGUAGGGUGAGCCUGGGAUGAUGGUAGCUCUUGCUGGCUUAGGCCAGGCACCUCCGUGUGCUCUGAGGGACAUAUCCUCAAGAGCCUUUUUCGUUUGUUUGUUUUGUGUUGGGUUUUUUUUUUUUUAAAUAAGUUUAUUUAUAUAUUUCUUUGGCUGUGCUAGGUCUUCGCCGCUGCACGUGGGCUCUUCUCUAGUGGCGAGGUGGAGGCUUUCAGGGGCUUCUCUUGUUGCAGAGUAACAGGCUCUACAGGCGUGGGCUCAGUAGCUGCAGUUCCCAGGCUCCCUAGUCGCAGCACACAGCCUCAGUUGCUUCACAGCACGUGGGAUCCUCCCAGAUCACACGUGUCUCCUGCUCUGGUGGGCGGAUUCUUUACCACUGAGCCACCAGGGAAGUCCAGAGACCUUGUUUGGCCAAAAAUUUUACUUUCGUUUUAGGUUCGAAGGAUUCAUUAACAACAGAAACCUCUCAUUACACACACAAUAAACAAUUUCAAUUUUAAAUAGAGGAUUUUUAAACUUCAUUUCAAUAUACAUCAUUAAAAGCAAAGAAAUAGAAACAACAGAGAGAAGGAACGGCACAUACUUCACCAAAUUGGGCUGACAACCCACAUCCAGACUUGAACAGCGCUGGGAAGUCCCAUGUAACAGCAAUCUGGAGUCCCGACUGGCAAAAGGCCCCAGGCAGCGUGUUCACCCCAUGGGUGAGACUUCAAAUUGCAGCUUUGGGGGCCACCACUUAUAAUCUCAGGCCACAAACGGACAUCAGCAUCAGUUUGCACACAAAAAUGCAGUUCUGGUUUUCCAUUAACUUUUAGAAUGCUAUUGGUUUUCACCUUGUGAGUCACAGGAUUUUCCAGACCCCAGGGGGCUGGCCAGGCCUACAGGGGCUCAGCAAAUUCCAAGACCCUCUCC